AUGAGUAAUUAUGACUACGACUACGUGUUAUUAAAUUUUACUGCAUACGAAUAGUGUUUGUUAGUGCGUUAGAGUUCAUCAGUAGUUUUCCAUGAAGAGUUUUAUUAAAGUUUUUUCUCCUGAAUCAUGAAUCUCGACUGUGGGUGAUGAGGCUCGAUUUUUGCAGAUGAAGAAAAAAAUUUUAUUCAUCGACUCACUCAGCGUUGAUUAUGUCCUCGCUGAAUAAUUGGAAUUGUGCCAAGUCACUCAGCGCGACGGAGCUAAACGAACGAAUGAUUAAUCGCGACAUUUUAUCCAUAUUCCUGCAUUAUCGACGUCACGGGAAAAGUUUCACAAACGCCAGAUUGAAACGGAGUCGAAUGGCUGAUAUAAACUUACCAAAAUAACGAGUAUAACGGGUCCCACGAAACUGAAGAUAAAGUAGUUGUCAGCUCGUAGCCAACAGUAUUGAUCGGUGCCGUAGCUCAGUGGAUCGAUUAUACAUGAAAUAGCAACCACGAGUAACGGACCACCAUAAGCAACCAGAUAAUACCAUCGCAGACGGGACUUUUCAGCUUCGAAAACUUCAAUCAGCAUGACGUACAGUUGAAAACCUGGGAAGAGAAAAAUUGGAAUUGAGAGUCGAUUCACAUUCGACUCACCUUAAGACCUCGGAAGAGUUGGAACGUCAGGAUCGCGAGAACCAGACAGACAACGGAGAUGAUGCAGCCGAUAUACGUGAUGAUUUGUAG
rnacentral:lncRNA from 1 species